UAGACAAUGCUGACAUGUAAUCUUCACAAAGUUACUCAUCCUUUUCCUUUUAUAUCCAAGUCAUCAUUUGCCAAUAUCAUUUAAGAAAAAAAGACAUAAAACAUGAUCUAUGACAAUUUGGUCUUAUAGAUCUUAGUACCUGCUACUAGUACAAAGACUGCCACUUUUAGUUUUGCAAUAUAUGGAAUUCAAGAACUUUAAACAUGACUAAGAUUAGUAAUAGUUGCAUUAUAGAUACAAAAAGCAUCUAUAUGUAGUUCAAUAUUCAUAAAAUCUGGCAUAGUUUUUCAACAGCAGCAUAAAUAAAACUAAUACAUAAAAGGAAAAAUUUUGGGUACCUUUCAUAAUCCUCAUAGAUAAUUUAAGAAGUAAUACUAUGAGAUUUGGGUAGAAAUCUCAUGCAAAUGGUGGCAAUAAAAAGUACUAGAUUUGAUUUGGUGGUGGCGCCGGCA
rnacentral:lncRNA from 1 species